rnacentral:tmRNA from 3 species
GGGGACGAGUGGGUUCGACAGGGAAUGGAUCUUUAAGUCGCAGGUCGUGUUGCCAUACCACGUAUGAAAUGGCAAAAUAAUGAUUGGCGAUCAAGAAUACGCUCUCGCUGCUUAAUAAAUAGUAGUGACGUUCUAUAGUAUCUUUGCUUAGGGUGAUGCUUUAGAACGACGAAUUACCUAGGCUGAGUAAAAUUAUUGCUAGAGUAAUUUUACAAAUACUUUUUCUGGCUAAGCAAUAAUAGUUGGUUUGUCGAUAGCGCCUUUAUUGACGAAAAUUAAAUUAUCGGCUAAGCCUGUAGAAGCUUAAGGAAUAAAUUUCUUGGACGGGGGGUUCAACUCCUCCCCGUCUCCACCA